rnacentral:tRNA from 1 species
AACACUAAGCCGGAUUAACGGAUAACAUUGAUAAAGUUAAAUAUGAAUAAAAUCUAGUGUUU